UCCGUAGGGUGAACCUGCGGAAGGAUCAUU
rnacentral:rRNA from 5 species